AAUUGGGGAGCUUUUUGGUAACCUAAACGAAUCACAAGCUUUGCAGAAGUAUAAAAACCUAGAAGUUAAGGCAGAAUCCUAAAGACAGUCCACUAAAGACUGUGUAUGUUCAAAGGUCAUGAAAUGCUAACUGUGGUGGGAAAUUAAAUGCAAAGGAUAAAGGGAUGUUCCGCCCUUCAGCAUUUUUUGCCACUUACUAUUCUUGUCGUUGUUCCAAAAGGCAGUGACCCAGUGCAAGAGAGAGAAGACAACACUCAACUGGAAACACCUGAGCCAGAAGAGGGAGCAGUGUUUAGAAAAGUAGAAGGAAAUUCUAUUUGUGCUGAUAAGAUGGAAGAGAUGCCCAGAAUCCUUCAAGGUGCAGAAGGUCCCCAGGAAACUGUUCAGGCGAAAUCAGUGAAGAAGAAUGCAUGCAAAUGUGUACAUUGUGGACAAGGUUUCCAUAAGAGGUCACAGUUGGUUAUUCAUGAAAGGGGUCAUGCCAGAGAGAAGCUGUAUGCUUGCUCUGAGCGUAGCCAGUGUUUUUCUCCCCAUCCAGAUCUUCCCAGUGAUGAGGCAAGCCAUGAAGAGGAGAAACCGUACCAGUGCUUGGAUUGUGGGAAAAGUUUCCGUGAAAAAGCAUAUGUUAUUCAUCACAAGAGAAUCCACACGGGGGAGAGGCCCUACACAUGUUCUGAGUGCGGGAAGAGCUUCUUUCGCCGAGGAUCCCUCAUUUUGCAUGAAAGAAUGCACACAGGAGAGAAGCUGUACAGAUGCCUGGACUGUGGGAAAUGCUUCAACCGGAAGCCGCACCUUGUUGUACAUAGAAGAAUUCACACAGGGGAAAAACCAUAUGAAUGUUCCGAUUGUGGGAAGAACUUCACUGUGAAAUCUGCUCUUAAUGUGCACAUGAGGACUCAUUCUGAAGAGAAACCCUACCAGUGCUCGGAUUGUGGGAAGAGCUUCCGUGAGAAAGGAACCCUCAAAAUACACAAGCAAAGCCAUACAUCAGAGAAACCAUUCCAAUGUUCUGAGUGUGGGAAGUGUUUCAGUUACAAGGCAUCUUUUAGGAGGCACAAGAAGACUCAUGCAGUAGGACCAGUCAUGAAAUCCUAUGACUGUCCUGACUGUGGGAAAAGCUUUGGCCGCAAAGAUUACCUUAUCACACACCAGAGAAUCCACACAGGGGAGAAGCCUUACAUGUGCUCAGUGUGUGGGAAAAGCUUCAAUCAUGGUGCAACUCUUGUCACUCAUAAGAGGACCCAUACGGGAGAGAAGCCUUAUGAAUGUUCUGAAUGUGAGAAAAGCUUCAAGCAGAUUUCAGGCCUUAUUACACAUCGGAGAACUCACACGGGAGAGAAGCCAUAUGAGUGUCCUGACUGUGGUAAACGCUUUAUCCUGAAAUCAUAUCUUGAUGUACAUAAGAGAAUCCAUACUGGAGAGAGGCCUUAUCAGUGCUCGCACUGUGGGAAGGGAUUCUCAUGUUCCUCUUAUCUUUUGCGGCAUGAGAAAACCCACACAGGAGAGCGAUUGCACACAUGCUCUGACUGUGGGCAAAGCUUCCAUUGGAAACGUUCCCUCAUCAUGCACAUGAGAAAACAUACAGGGGAGCAGAAUCUUCACGAAUGCACCAUCUGUGGCAAAAGCUUCAGUUGGUCAUCAGCCUUGAAUGUCCACAUGAGAACUCACACAGGGGAGAAACCUUACAUGUGUUCCGAAUGCGGGAAAACCUUCAGUGGAAAAUGGAUCCUUAUUCAGCACAAGAGGACCCACACAGGUGAAAAACCCUAUGACUGUCCCGAGUGUGGGAGAAGCUUCCAUGCAAAGUCAUCACUCUUUGCACACAAACGAACCCACACAGGAGAAAAGCCACAUGAGUGCUCUGAGUGUGGGAAGAGCUACAGCGUGAAAGCCAAUUUUGUAGCACACAUGAGGACCCACACAGGAGAGAAGCCCUAUGACUGCUCUGAGUGUGGGAAAAGUUUCUAUAAGAAAGACCGUCUCAUGACCCACAAGAGGACCCACACGGGAGAAAAACCCUACCAGUGCUCUGAGUGUGGGAAAGGGUUCAACUGGAAAGUCGGUCUGAUCAACCACAUGAGGAUUCACACUGGGGAGAAGCCAUAUGCCUGUGCCGAAUGUGGGAAGAGCUUCCAUAAAAAAGACCACCUUGCUCGGCAUGAGAUCAUCCACACGGGAGAGAAGCCAUAUGCCUGCUUUGACUGUGGCAAGAGCUUUAAUCAGAAAGUUGCCCUGAUAGUGCACAUGAGGACUCACACAGGAGAGAAGCCGUAUAAAUGUUCUGAGUGUGGGAAGAGCUUCAGCUGGAAGAAAUCCUUGAUCACACAUAGUGCUGCUCACACAGGGAAGAAACCCUAUCAAUGCUCCGAAUGCACAGAAAGCUUCAGCCGGCGUUCUCAACUGACAGAACAUGAAAGUGCUCACACAGGUUUUGUUGCUGUCUCUUCAGAACUCACUGUGGAGGAAAUCAGCACAGCUGUGAUGAGCUUGGAUUGUAAUGCAAUCAUUUUGACCACUGCCGUGUAGAGCGAAAUCCCCUGCAAGCUAAACCGGGGUGAGAGGAACAAGACUUAACCAUGGUGCUGCAGGAUUCUGGAAUCCCAUCCACUUGUUGAACCUGACGAAAGGCUUUUGCUUAAGCCACUCUAGCAGCAUCUCCAUCAGCAAUGUCAAGUCUGAAAUUUGUCCAUUUCUGCAACCCAGUUACUUGUCAAAAUUAGUGCAAUUCCUCCUAAAUUAUUUUCUCUCAAAAUUCCCAUUAUUCAUUGGAAAACUUUCCUUGGAUUUUGAGAUAUAUGUAUGACUCAUUGUCUUCUCUUCCAUUUUUUAAGAAUAUAGACCAGAAUAAAAUUCAUUGGAAAUAAG